GUGCACCAGUCGCGAAACCUUCGCAAUGCGGGAAACCGCGACGAGGGACUCCCAGUGCCUACGCUCAGCGUAGGCUGUUCCCGAGCCUAGAAAGCUCGGGGAGUAAGGGCUGGGUAAGACGGGUGCCAGCCGCCGCGGUAAUACCCGCAGCCCGAGUGGUGGCCACUAUUAUUGGGCCUAAAGCGUCCGUAGCCGGCCCGGUAAAUGCCUGGGUAAAUCGUGAGGCCUAACCUCACGAAUUCCGGGUAGACUGCCGGGCUAGGGACCGGAGGAGGGAGAGGGUACUCCAGGGGUAGGGGUGAAAUCCUGUAAUCCCUGGAGGACCACCGGUGGCGAAGGCGCUCUCCUAGGACGGGUCCGACGGUGAGGGACGAAAGCCAGGGGAGCGAACCGGAUUAGAUA
rnacentral:rRNA from 1 species